GACGAACCGUACGAACGUUAUUCGGAAUCACUGGGCUUAAAGGGUGCGUAGGCGGCGCUGAAAGUUGGGUGUGAAAUCCCUCGGCUCAACCGAGGAACUGCAUUCAAAACUACAGUGCUUGAGGGAGACAGAGGUGAGCGGAACUUAGGGUGGAGCGGUGAAAUGCGUUGAUAUCCUAAGGAACACCCGUGGCGAAAGCGGCUCACUGGGUCUCUUCUGACGCUGAGGCACGAAAGCUAGGGGAGCGAACAGG
rnacentral:rRNA from 1 species